GAUGAAGAACGCAGCGAAAUGCGAUAAGUAAUGUGAAUUGCAGAAUUCAGUGAAUCAUCGAAUCUUUGAACGCACAUUGCGCCCGCCAGUAUUCUGGCGGGCAUGCCUGUUCGAGCGUCAUUUCAACCAUCAAGCCCCAGGCUUGUGUUGGGGACCUGCGGCUGCCGCAGGCCCUGAAAACCAGUGGCGGGCUCGCUGUCACACCGGGCGUAGUAGAUUUUAUCUCGCUCAGGGCGUGCUGCGGGUUCCGGCCGUUAAAAAGCCUUUUUUACCCAAGGUUGACCUCGGAUCAGGUAGGAAUACCCGCUGAACUUAAGCAUAUCAUAAGCGGAGGA
rnacentral:misc_RNA from 1 species